GCCACGUUAGCUCAACAGGCAGAGCCUCCGGCUCAUAACCGGAUCGUUGCAGGUUCGAUUCCUGCACGCGGCA
rnacentral:tRNA from 1 species